rnacentral:rRNA from 1 species
AUUGAACGCUGGCGGCAUGCCUUACACAUGCAAGUCGAACGGCAGCACGGGAGCAAUCCUGGUGGCGAGUGGCGAACGGGUGAGUAAUAUAUCGGAACGUGCCCAGUCGUGGGGGAUAACGCAGCGAAAGCUGUGCUAAUACCGCAUACGAUCUAAGGAUGAGAGCGGGGGAUCGCAAGACCUCGCGCGAUUGGAGCGGCCGAUAUCAGAUUAGCUAGUUGGUGGGGUAAAGGCCCACCAAGGCGACGAUCUGUAGCUGGUCUGAGAGGACGACCACCCACACUGGAACGGAGACACGGUCCAGACUCCUACGGGAGGCAGCAGUGGGGAAUUUUGGACAAUGGGCGCAAGCCUGAUCCAGCAAUGCCGCGUGCAGGAUAAAGGCCUUCGGGUUGUAAACUGCUUUUGUACGGAACGAAACGGCCCUUUCUAAUACAGGGGGCUAAUGACGGUACCGUAAGAAUAAGCACCGGCUAACUACGUGCCAGCCGCCGCGGUAA